rnacentral:tRNA from 1 species
CUGGGUGUAGCUCAGUCUGCGCAGAGUACCGGACUUGGAAUCCGGGGGCCGCUGGUUCGAAUCCAGUCACCCAGACCA